UUUCUUUUUGGUCUGAGAAAUCGAUGGGGACAAUAAAUUCGGGUGGGGAUCGUUUUCGGUGGUGUAGAUGGAACGUGGUUGCUAUCAAGGAGAUCGCCAUGGAGAUCGCGAUGUCGGGGAUUUUCAUCUCGAGGAAGAUCAAUUAACCCAACAUCAUCAGCUUCAUCGACAUGAUCGAGGUUCGUCUUCUUUUGCUCUUCUUGACAUGAUUGAGGAUGUUGUUAGCUCGUAUAAAGCUCCCAUCUUUCUUGGACCAGCUUCACCACAACAGAAGCUUAUGAUGCACUUGAUCCAACUGGAAACAUCACCAUAAAAUGGGAUAUCAUUAGCUGGACUGCUGAUGGCUAUGUGGCUGUUGUAUCGAUCUUCAAUUUUCAACAAUACCGUCACAUUCAAGCCCCAGGUUGGCAACUAGGAUGGAGUUGGUAUAAAAAGGAAGUGAUAUGGAGUAUGGUUGGUGCACAAGCCUCAGAGCAAGGAGAUUGUUCUAAGUUCAAAGGCAACAUUCCUCAUUGCUGCAAGAAAACCCCCACCGUCGUUGACUUGUUACCGGGAACUCCAUACAACCAACAUAUAUUAAACUGUUGUCGAGGCGGUUUGAUUAGCUCCUGGGCACAAGACCCCGCAACAGCCGUGGGAAGAACAACCUCCAGCCGCUCUUGCAAUGUACACAGCAUAUGUGUCCCAUCAGAGUUCAUUGACAUGUGAAAACUAACUACAAAGAGUACUGGCGUGUGAAGGUCACAAUCACAAACUUCAACUACAAUAUGAAUUACUCGCAGUGGAAUUUGGUUGUUCAGCAUCCCAACUUCGACAAUAUCACUCAACUUUUCAGCUUUACACUCCCACAACGUUAGAUUCAGAUCUUGUACGCUUUGAGCUUAUCAUUAAGGUAUAUAUGCUCAAAAACACUUCUCA